rnacentral:rRNA from 1 species
UACGGAGGGUGCAAGCGUUAUCCGGAUUUACUGGGUUUAAAGGGUGCGUAGGUGGGUCUGUAAGUCAGUGGUGAAAUCUCCGGGCUCAACCCGGAAACUGCCAUUGAUACUAUCAGUCUUGAAUAUCGUGGAGGUAAGCGGAAUAUGUCAUGUAGCGGUGAAAUGCUUAGAUAUGACAUAGAACACCAAUUGCGAAGGCAGCUUACUACCCGAAUAUUGACACUGAGGCACGAAAGCGUGGGGAUCAAACAGG